UACGUAGGGGGCGAGCGUUGUCCGGAUUCAUUGGGCGUAAAGCGCGCGCAGGCGGUUGCGGGAGCCCGGCGUGAAAGCCCCCAGCUCAAAUGGGGGAGGCCGUCGGAGACCGCGCGACUUGAGGCCGGUAGGGGAGAGCGGAAUUCCCGGUGUAGUGGUGGAAUGCGUAGAUAUCGGGAGGAACACCAGUGGCGAAGGCGGCUCUCUGGACCGGUUCUGACGCUCAGGCGCGAAAGCGUGGGGAGCGAUCCGG
rnacentral:rRNA from 1 species